ACGCUCGACACCUACGGGAGGCAGCAGUGGGGAAUAUUGGGCAAUGGGCGCAAGCCUGACCCAGCAACGCCGCGUGAAGGAAGAAGGCCCUCGGGUUGUAAACUUCUUUUGACAGGGACGAAACAAAUGACGGUACCUGUCGAAUAAGCCACGGCUAACUACGUUCCAGCAGCCGCGGUAAUCUGAGCGGGCUGGCAAGGC
rnacentral:rRNA from 1 species